rnacentral:siRNA from 1 species
AGCGUACAAUUAUCAGUUCUAGAC